GUCACAUGUCUUGCCAUGUCAUAGUCGCCAGUUGUUUUUAUCAUUGUGUUUAAAUAUUAUUUUGAGAUUCCUGCACUCCUGCCUUGCCUCCCUGCUUCCCUGCAAUUGGGUCCACCAUGUUCUUGCCUUGCGUUCCUCGCCUUCUCCCUAACCACGAUUACUUGCUGCCUCUGGCUACAUUCUCUGCGAGUAUUGAUGUGGAGACCUUGGGAGCGGUGUCGCGCGUGACCCUUAACCCCGCCACCCAAUUUGCCUUUGGUGCGCGUUGAAAGAAUUCCGCCGCCUCGUGCCACACGGAGGAUAACCUUCACCAUUCUGUAGAGAUGAAACAGGUAGGCAGGCAGGCCCGUCGAGGCGGUGGUGCUGCCUCCCUCCAGCUGGUGUCUCCACCACACGCCAGAUGGCCUAGCACGUCUGAACAACAUUUGCCCUCCCGGUCUCAAAGCGACAGAUUCUGUGCCAAAGUGUUUACUGUAUGUCUGGAGAUGGCAGUACAUCGGCGGUGGAGCAAAGGCUCCGCCUUUUCAUACCAACAAGAGGAAGAGAAAAAAGUGACAUGACUCAGCGGAAAUGACAUCCUCAAGCCAAUUGCUCCGACCCUGGGGCGUUAAACCCCUGCUGCAAUAUGAUUGGCUCCUGCAUCACAGCAGGGCAGUUUACGCCGAUGUCCAUUCUAAAUGUUAUCACGUUUGUACAAAAUAAAAACAAUCAUCAAAAUGUUAUCACAUUUGUAGAAAAUAAAAACAAUCAAGUUUGUUAUGGUUAGGGUUACGGUUGUGGUUAGAGUGGGUGAGGAUGGGUUAGCAUGGGUUACGAUUCGUGGGAUUCAUAAUAAUGUCGCCACAC